GGUUCAGGUUCAGUUAGGAAAGGGGUUAACAAGAUGGCAGGUGUUUUCACCGAGUUGAUUCAGGAGAUGCAAGUAAAAGGUGUACAGGUUAGAUUCCAGGGGUCAUUUGUUUUCCAUGUGUGAACGUAAUUUAGCUAUAAAACCUGUUAUCAGUUAGUUUUGAUAUUUAGUCAUGCAAUGGUGUAAAAUACUUGGUUGGAAUUGCUUGUUGAACUGUGCAGUUUAA